CACGUAGGGUGCGAGCGUUGUCCGGAAUUAUUGGGCGUAAAGAGCUCGUAGGCGGUGUGUCGCGUCGGCCGUGAAAACUUGCAGCUUAACUGUGGGCGUGCGGUCGAUACGGGCAUCACUGGAGUUCGGCAGGGGAGACUGGAAUUCCUGGUGUAGCGGUGAAAUGCGCAGAUAUCAGGAGGAACACCGGUGGCGAAGGCGGGUCUCUGGGCCGGAACUGACGCUGAGGAGCGAAAGCGUGGGUAGCAAACAGG
rnacentral:rRNA from 1 species